rnacentral:rRNA from 1 species
UCCAGUUGAUUCUGCUGGAGACAACUGCUAUUGGGGUUCGAUUCAGCCAUGCUAGUAAAAGGGCUCUUCGGAGUAACUUGCGAAAAGCUCAGUAACACGUGGACAAUCUGCCCUUAGGUGGGGGACAACCUCGGAAAACUGAGGCUAAUACCCCAUAGGCGAGGAGUACUGCAAUGUCCCUCGCUCAAACGAAUUUCGCCUAAGGAUGAGUCUGCGGCGGAUUAGGUAGAUGGCGGGGUAAAUGCCCACCAUGCCAUUGAUCCGUACCGGCCAUGAGAGUGGGAGCCGGGAGAUGGGUACUGAGACAAGGACCCAGGUCCUACGGGAUGCAGCAGGCGCGAAACCUCCGCAAUGCACUAACGUGUGACGGGGGGAACCCCAAGUGCCACGGUACGACCGUGGCUUUUACGGAGUGUAAAAAGCUCCGAGAAUAAGGGCUGGGUAAGGCUGGUGCCAGCCUCCGCGGUAAAACCAGCAGCUCGAGUGGUUGUCGCUUUUAUUGGGCUUAAAGCGUUCGUAGUCGGUUCCGUCAGUCCUCUGUGAAAUCCGGCGACUUAAUCGUCGGGCUGGCAGAGGAUACUACGGGGCUAGGAGACGGGAGAGGUUAGGGGUACUCCCUGGGUAGCGGUGAAAUGCUAUAAUCCUGGGAUGACCACCGGUGGCGAAGGCGCCUAACUGGAACGUGCUCGACGAUGAGGGACGAAAGCUAGGGUAGCAAACCGGAUUAGAUACCCGGGUAGUCCUAGCCGUAAACGAUGCAGACUUAGUGUUGCCGGAACUACGCGUUCCGGCAGUGCUGGAGGGAAACCGUUAAGUCUGCCGCCUGGGAAGUACGGUCGCAAGGCUGAAACUUAAAGAAAUUGGCGGGGGAGCACCACAAGGGGUGGAGUCUGCGGUUUAAUUGGAUACAACGCCGGAAAACUUACCAGGGGCGACAGCAGGAUGAAGGUCAGGCCGAGGGUCUUACCUGACAAGCUGAGAGGUAGUGCAUGGCCGCCGUCAGCUCGUACCGUGAGGCGUGCGGUUAAGUCCGUUAACGAGCGAGACCCGUGCCACUAUUUACCACCGUUUCGGAUACGGAGCGGGUACUAUAGUGGGACCGCUGGCGAUGAGUCAGAGGAAGGAGCGGGCAACGAUAGGUCAGUAUGCUCCGAAUCUCCUGGGCUACACGUGGACUACAAUGGCACGAACAAUGGGUUGCGACCCCGAAAGGGAGGAGCUAAUCCCACAAAGCGUGUCUUAGUUCGGAUUGAGGGUUGUAACCCACCCUCAUGAAGUUGAAAUCCCUAGUAGUCGCGGUUCACCAUAGCGCGGCGAAUAUGCCCCUGCUCCUUGCACACACCGCCCGUCACACCAACCGAGUGGACUUAGAACGAGGCUCUCUCAUUUGGGAAAUUCGAGUUCUAGGUUCGCGAGGGGGGUGAAGUCGUAACAAGGUA